UCGUAAAUAUACUUCAUUAUAUAUGAUAAAAAAAAAAAAAAAAAAAACUAGCAUAAAAGAUAACAUGAAAUGUAAAUAACAAUUACAAUGAAUUUUCAAAAAUGGGUAAGGUAUAAUAGUGCUCGUUUCAUUUGUUACAAAAACGAAGUACCCUACUUUUUUAGCAACGAAUCAAAAAUACCAGUUAAGAAAAUUAUUCCUUGUAAAGAAGUUAAUAAAAGAGAAAACCAACACAAAUAUACAUUAAUUAAUAAUAUAUAUUAUGUAAAAGAAUUAGAUUUGUAUGAUAAACUUAUCAACAUAUAUGUUGAUGUUAUUUUUAAUUUUGAAAAAUAUCCUCUGCAUGUUCAGCAUUUACAUAUAUUUUGCAAGAACUUACUUAAAGAAAAGGUAGAGAGUGUUAAAAAAAGUUCCGAACAUAAAAAAAGACUGUUUGAAAUAGGAGAUGUUACAACAGAAACUCUGAAUGAGUAUCUUGUAAGAUUAAAUGAUGAAAAAAUGAAAAAAAAAAAAAAAUAUAAA